UACAGAGGGUGCGAGCGUUAAUCGGAAUUACUGGGCGUAAAGCGUGCGUAGACGGUUGCGUAAGUCAGAUGUGAAAGCCCCGGGCUCAACCUGGGAAUUGCAUUUGAGACUGCGUAGCUAGGGUGCGGAAGAGGGAAGCGGAAUUUCCGGUGUAGCGGUGAAAUGCGUAGAUAUCGGAAGGAACACCAGUGGCGAAGGCGGCGAUCUGGGAAGAUACUGACGCUGAGGUGCGAAAGCGUGGGGAGCAAACAGG
rnacentral:rRNA from 1 species